UAUUGUUGAGAAACAACAACCAAAGUUUUUCAUUUUUAAAUUUUAGGUUUUAAAUUUUAAGCGACGAGCAUAGCGAGGAGCGAUGGGGGGUUGUAAGGGAGUAUCGUCUGGAGCUUUUCUUCUUUUGUCCGUAGGACAAGUAGAAGAAACGUUCUGGAGGGAGAAAAUUAGGUAGGGUUGUUAAUCAAAUAUCUCUGGAAAGAGUAACCAUAGAGGGUAAUAGUCCCGUAGAUAAAAAUAACUUUACGCUCCUUGAUGCUUUACUUGAGUACCUUGGAAAACGAAAACUCCGAGGGAAACUGGCAGGACUAUACUGCUAAAGCUAAAUACUCAAUCUCACCGAUAGUGAACUAGUACCGUGAGGGAAAGGUGAAAAGUAGGCGGGUAACGCCGAUGAAAUAGAACCUGAAACCGUUUGCUCACAAGGAGUCAGCGCGGUGUCUCACUAACGUUCGACACCGCUUAAAUUCAAAAGUAAAAUCUCAAAAUGCAAAAUUAUUGUAUCGCGCUUCGCGCGAUGGAUUAUAAUCCGUCCCGCAAAGCGGGACACAUAAAUUUUGACUUUUACAUUUUUAACUUUUAGUUUAGGUGGCGAGCGAUAGCGAGACACCGUUAUGGCGUGCCUAUUGAAGAAUGACCCAACGAGUCCGAGCACUCAACUUUGUCUAAGCCCUUAUGGGGUGGAGGCACAGGGAAACCGAGUGUUAAAAGCGCGUGCGAUUUUGUCGCGCGUUGAGUGCUCGGGACCCGAAGCCAAGCGAGCUUGCCAUGGCCAGGGUGAGUCCCGCAGAAAUGCGGGAGGAGGCCCGAACCAGUGAGCCGUUCAAAACUCUUGGACGAGCCGUGGUAAGAAGUAAAAAGCUAAUCGAGCUUGGGAAUAGCUGGUUCUCCCCGAAAUAUCUUUUGGGAUAGCGUCCGUUAAUAAAUUGCCGCAGGUAGAGCACUAGAAAGAAUAUCGUGGAGUUUCUCCAGGUAUUUUUACUAAACUCCGAAUGGCGGUUAAUUCUAACGGGCAGUCAGACUGUGGGGGCUAAGCUCCAUGGUCGAAAGGGAAAAAGCCCUUAUCUUCAUCUAAGGUCCCUAAAUUUUCCAUUUUUUAAUGGACCCCCGGCCCGCAAGGGCUUAGGGGGGAGCUAAGUGUAAGCUAAGGAAGUGGAAUUCUUUUGAUAGUUAGGAGGUUAGCUUAGAAGCAGCUAUCCUUUAAAAAGUGCGUAACAGCUUACUAAUUAAGGAAUUCCGCGCCGAAGAUUGCCGGGACUAAGCUCAAUACCGAAGAUAAGACCCGGUAGUGAAUUUUGGACAAAGCUUUGCUUUAGUUUGUUCGCUUUUGGCGAACAAGUCCAAAACUUACUACCGGGGGUAGGGGAGCAUUUCUAGCGCAGUGAAGCCGGCGGGUAACCGACGGUGGAGCGCUGGGAAGAGAGAAUGUUGGGAUGAGUAACCGCAAGUCCGAUGAGAUAUCGGACCACCGAAAGCCUGAGGUUUCCUUGGCAAUGAAAAUCAGCCAAGGGUUAGGCGUACCUAAGGUGUAGCCGAAAGGCGAAACCGAUGGACAGCCGGUUAAUAUUCCGGCCCUUCGCCAAAUUUUUCUUAAAAUGACGCAGUCGAAGUGCUCGAGAGGAUUAUUGGAUUUCCGAGACCUCGUCCUCUAUGCUUGUGAUUAAGUUUAAUAAAUUUUAUCGUGUUGUUUGAUAAUGCGAUAAGUUGUUGACUUCGAUGAUAAGUUUAGAGGACGGGGCGUCUCAAGUACCAGAUUGACCAGAAAAGUUUUAAGAAAGUUAAAUUUUGGUGAAUUCGUACCGAAAACCGACACAGGUGGGCAGGUCGAGAAGACCAAGGUGAACGGGUGAAACCUUGUUAAGGAACUCGGCAAAAAAGCGUCCGUAAGUUCGCAAUAUGGACUUCCCCUCCUAAUUUUGGAGAAUGUCGAUAAUAAAAAUUUAUCGAAUCCAGAAUUAGGAGGGGACGCAGCGAAAGUACCCCUAGCGACUGUUUAACAAAAACACAGGUCCCUGCUUAACUCGUAAGAGAAUGUAUAGGGGCUGAAGCCUGACCAGUGCUGGAACGUUAAACUCGCCGGUCUCUGCCGUAAGGUAGUGGCUAAGUGAGCGAAGCGCCAGUAAACGUCCGCGGUAACUAUAACCGUGUUAAAGUAGCGUAAUCCCUUGCCGGGUAAGUUCCGGCCCGCAUGAAAGGCUUAACGACUUGGGGACUGUCUCAACAAGGAGCCCGGUGAAAAUGCAGUACCGGUAAAGAUGCCGGUUACCUGCGGCUAGACGGAAAGACCCCGGGAGCUUUACUGUAGCUUCUUAUUGUCUUAUUGUUCUGUAUGCGUAGCGUAGCAGGGAGACUUUGAGUUCGCCAUUUCGGUGGCGGAGGAGUCGCCAAUGAAACACCUGUCUUGCGGAAGGAUAAAACUAACUUCGUCAAAAAACGGAAAACAGUGAGAGGUGGGCAGUUUAAGUGGGGCACUUGCCUCCUAAAAGGUAAUGGAGGCGUUCAUAAGGUCGGCUAGCUCCGGAUGGAAAUCGGAGUGGUCGGGCAAAGCCAAAAGCCGGCUUAACUGCAAGGGGGAUAUCCUGCGCAGGCUCGAAAGAGGGACUUAGUGAACCGAUGGUAAUUUUUAGAAUUGCCAGAGAUCAUCAGCCAAAAGCUACCCCGGGGAUAACAGGCUAGUAGAGCCCGCGAGUCCACAUCAACGGCUCUGUUCGGCACCUCGAUGUCGGCUCAACUUAUCCUGGGGCCGGAGAAGGUCCCAAGGGUUCGGCUGUUCGCCGAUUAAAAAGUUACGUGAGCUGGGUUCAGACCGUUCAAAAUAUAAAAUAUGCAAUUUGAAACCUAAAACAUUAAGUAUGUAUUAUUUGUAUCUUGAACAGUCUGAAUCCGAGGUAUGACAUCGCACACGGCGGCGAUAUGCAGAAAUGUAUAUCGUGAAGCUAACUAAUAUCGGUAAAAUCCUGAUUAUUUAUCAGGACAAUACCGAGGGAAUUCUUAAGAAAAGAGAAGCCCGUAGAGACUAUACGUUAGCCUCCUUAAAAGUAAGGAUAAAGAUAUAGUCCAAUGCGCUUAGUAAUAAGCGAUAACAUGCGUGAGACAGGUUGGUCCCUAUCUACCGCAG
rnacentral:rRNA from 1 species